rnacentral:rRNA from 1 species
AACGAACGCUGGCGGCAUGCCUAACACAUGCAAGUCGAACGAGACCUUCGGGUCUAGUGGCGCAAGGGUGCGUAACGCGGGGGGACCUACCCUUAUGAUCGGCAUAACUCCCCGAAAGGGGUGCUAAUACCGGAUAAUGUCUCCGGACCAAAGAUUUAUCGCCUUUGGAUGGGCCCGCGUUGGAUUAGCUAGUUGGUAGGGUAAAAGCCUACCAAGGCGACGAUCCAUAGCUGGUCUGAGAGGAGGAUCAGCCACACUGGGACUGAGACACGGCCCAGACUCCUACGGGAGGCAGCAGUGGGGAAUAUUGGACAAGGGGCGAAAGCCUGAUCCAGCAAUGCCGCGUGAGUGAUGAAGGCCUUAGGGUUGUAAAGCUCUUUUACCCGGGAUGAUAAUGACAGUACCGGGAGAAUAAGCUCCGGCUAACUCCGUG